GUCCACGCCCUAAACGAUGUCAACUAGGUGUUGGGUGGGUAAAACCAUUUAGUACCGGAGCUAACGCGUGAAGUUGACCGCCUGGGGAGUACGGCCGCAAGGUUAAAACUCAAAGGAAUUGACGGGGACCCGCACAAGCGGUGGAUGAUGUGGAUUAAUUCGAUGCAACGCGAAAACCUUACCUACCCUUGACAUGUUCAGAAUCCUUGAGAGAUUGAGGAGUGCCCCGAAAGGGAGCUGGAACACAGGUGCUGCAUGGCUGUCGU
rnacentral:rRNA from 1 species